GUUUACAGCCAUACCACCCUGAACGUGCCCAAUCUCGUCUGAUCUCAGAAGCUAAGCAGGGUCGGGCCUGGUUAGUACUUAGAUGGGAGAACAAAUAUAGAGGGUUAAAAUCA
ensembl:rRNA 5S_rRNA 5S ribosomal RNA